rnacentral:rRNA from 1 species
UACGGAGGGUGCAAGCGUUAAUCGGAAUUACUGGGCGUAAAGCGUGCGCAGGCGGUUUGUUAAGUCCGUUGUGAAAGCCCCGAGCUCAACUUGGGAAUUGCAGUGGAUACUGGCAGGCUGGAGUACGGUAGAGGAAGGUGGAAUUCCCGGUGUAGCAGUGAAAUGCGUAGAGAUCGGGAGGAACAUCUGUGGCGAAGGCGGCCACCUGGACCAACACUGACACUGAGGCACGAAAGCGUGGGGAGCAAACAGG